rnacentral:rRNA from 1 species
GGGGAGCCGAAGGGAAACCGAGUCUUAACUGGGCGUUAAGUUGCAGGGUAUAGACCCGAAACCCGGUGAUCUAGCCAUGGGCAGGUUGAAGGUUGGGUAACACUAACUGGAGGACCGAACCGACUAAUGUUGAAAAAUUAGCGGAUGACUUGUGGCUGGGGGUGAAAGGCCAAUCAAACCGGGAGAUAGCUGGUUCUCCCCGAAAGCUAUUUAGGUAGCGCCUCGUGAAUUCAUCUCCGGGGGUAGAGCACUGUUUCGGCAAGGGGGUCAUCCCGACUUACCAACCCGAUGCAAACUGCGAAUACCGGAGAAUGUUAUCACGGGAGACACACGGCGGGUGCUAACGUCCGUCGUGAAGAGGGAAACAACCCAGACCGCCAGCUAAGGUCCCAAAGUCAUGGUUAAGUGGGAAACGAUGUGGGAAGGCCCAGACAGCCAGGAUGUUGGCUUAGAAGCAGCCAUCAUUUAAAGAAAGCGUAAUAGCUCACUGGUCGAGUCGGCCUGCGCGGAAGAUGUAACGGGGCUAAACCAUGCACCGAAGCUGCGGCAGCGACGCUGAUGCGUUGUUGGGUAGGGGAGCGUUCUGUAAGCCUGUGAAGGUGUGCUGUGAGGCAUGCUGGAGGUAUCAGAAGUGCGAAUGCUGACAUAAGUAACGAUAAAGCGGGUGAAAAGCCCGCUCGCCGGAAGACCAAGGGUUCCUGUCCAACGUUAAUCGGGGCAGGGUGAGUCGACCCCUAAGGCGAGGCCGAAAGGCGUAGUCGAUGGGAAACAGGUUAAUAUUCCUGUACUUGGUGUUACUGCGAAGGGGGGACGGAGAAGGCUAUGUUGGCCGGGCGACGGUUGUCCCGGUUUAAGCGUGUAGGCUGGUUUUCCAGGCAAAUCCGGAAAAUCAAGGCUGAGGCGUGAUGACGAGGCACUACGGUGCUGAAGCAACAAAUGCCCUGCUUCCAGGAAAAGCCUCUAAGCAUCAGGUAACAUCAAAUCGUACCCCAAACCGACACAGGUGGUCAGGUAGAGAAUACCAAGGCGCUUGAGAGAACUCGGGUGAAGGAACUAGGCAAAAUGGUGCCGUAACUUCGGGAGAAGGCACGCUGAUAUGUAGGUGAAGCGACUUGCUCGUGGAGCUGAAAUCAGUCGAAGAUACCAGCUGGCUGCAACUGUUUAUUAAAAACACAGCACUGUGCAAACACGAAAGUGGACGUAUACGGUGUGACGCCUGCCCGGUGCCGGAAGGUUAAUUGAUGGGGUCAGCGCAAGCGAAGCUCUUGAUCGAAGCCCCGGUAAACGGCGGCCGUAACUAUAACGGUCCUAAGGUAGCGAAAUUCCUUGUCGGGUAAGUUCCGACCUGCACGAAUGGCGUAAUGAUGGCCAGGCUGUCUCCACCCGAGACUCAGUGAAAUUGAACUCGCUGUGAAGAUGCAGUGUACCCGCGGCAAGACGGAAAGACCCCGUGAACCUUUACUAUAGCUUGACACUGAACAUUGAGCCUUGAUGUGUAGGAUAGGUGGGAGGCUUUGAAGUGUGGACGCCAGUCUGCAUGGAGCCGACCUUGAAAUACCACCCUUUAAUGUUUGAUGUUCUAACGUUGACCCGUGAUCCGGGUUGCGGACAGUGUCUGGUGGGUAGUUUGACUGGGGCGGUCUCCUCCUAAAGAGUAACGGAGGAGCACGAAGGUUGGCUAAUCCUGGUCGGACAUCAGGAGGUUAGUGCAAUGGCAUAAGCCAGCUUGACUGCGAGCGUGACGGCGCGAGCAGGUGCGAAAGCAGGUCAUAGUGAUCCGGUGGUUCUGAAUGGAAGGGCCAUCGCUCAACGGAUAAAAGGUACUCCGGGGAUAACAGGCUGAUACCGCCCAAGAGUUCAUAUCGACGGCGGUGUUUGGCACCUCGAUGUCGGCUCAUCACAUCCUGGGGCUGAAGUAGGUCCCAAGGGUAUGGCUGUUCGCCAUUUAAAGUGGUACGCGAGCUGGGUUUAGAACGUCGUGAGACAGUUCGGUCCCUAUCUGCCGUGGGCGCUGGAGAACUGAGGGGGGCUGCUCCUAGUACGAGAGGACCGGAGUGGACGCAUCACUGGUGUUCGGGUUGUCAUGCCAAUGGCACUGCCCGGUAGCUAAAUGCGGAAGAGAUAAGUGCUGAAAGCAUCUAAGCACGAAACUUGCCCCGAGAUGAGUUCUCCCUGACUCCUUGAGAGUCCUGAAGGAACGUUGAAGACGACGACGUUGAUAGGCCGGGUGUGUAAGCGCAGCGAUGCGUUGAGCUAACCGGUACUAAUGAACCGUGAGG